UAGGGAAUAUUGCAGAAUGGGCGCAAGCCUGAUGCAGCAACGCCGCGUGCGCGAUGAAGGCCUUCGGGUCGUAAAGCGCUUUUCAGAGGGAUGAGGAAGGACAGUACCUCUGGAAUAAGUCUCGGCUAACUACGUGCCAGCAGCCGCGGUAAAACGUAGGAGGCAAGCGUUAUCCGGAUUUACUGGGCGUAAAGCGCGUGCAGGCGGUUUGGGAAGUUGGAUGUGAAAGCUCCCGGCUCAACUGGGAGAGGUCGUUCAAGACCCUCAGACUGGAGGAUGGUAGAGGGAGGUGGAAUUCCGGGUGUAGUGGUGAAAUGCGUAGAUAUCCGGAGGAACACCAGUGGCGAAAGCGGCCUCCUGGACCAUUUCUGACGCUCAGACGCGAAAGCUAGGGGAGCAAACGGGAUUAGAGACCCCGGUAGUCCUAGCUGUAAACCAUGUAGACUUGGCGUCGGUGGGUUCAAAUCCAUCGGUGCCGCAGCCAACGCGAUAAGUCUACCGCCUGGGGACUACGGCCGCAAGGUUAA
rnacentral:rRNA from 1 species